AUGGCAACGCCAUCCAUUUCCUUCUUGUCAUUUUCUUUUUCAUUUCGCCUGAUGCGCAACAGCAUCUAACUUUAAAAUUUUAUUUUUCUGAAUCGGGUCUCUGAGCUAUUUCUCUUUUCAAAGAAAUAGCUACUGGGGUAAGCCAUGUAGCCUACACGCCCCCUGAUGGCCCACCCGACGCAACAAAACUUCGACCCUUUGCUGAGUUAAUUUUGCAAAGGUCGACGUGCGGAAGGUUUUAUUAUUCCACGUGGGGAACUCCCACAGCCCUGAAGUCUCAUGGCCGGGCAUUUCUGGAACUUCAAUGACGUGUUUGCCGACAUAAUUGAAAAAUUCCAGAUUACACCUGAAUUAUUUGGAGAAUUUUUUUGAUUUGAAGCACCCGAACAAUAUUUAAGGAGACUGUGAGUUACUCGGUUCGACUGGGAUAUGAGUAAAGUUCCUUAACAUGGAUUUCUUCAGUGUCAUUUGGCAGAAUUUGUAGUGUGCAGAAAGUGAAAUGCGUACGUUCUACCAAACUUGUGUGGUUAUUGUUUGGCCGUGAGUGAGCUGUGGUGAUUCCUUUUUAAUUUUUGGGUAAAAUCCCCAUUUGGGCUACACCAACCAUCAUUGAAUGGUGUAUGGUGUAUUCAAUGAUUUUAUUCAGCCCUCCAACCACUACGUACUCCUUUGGGUUUAUGAAAUUAUACUGCUGAGUCGGGGGUCAUAUUAUUGUUAUUGUCCGGUCAUUAAAAAUUAGUUAUACUGCGCUUACUUAUUUUUGAACAAAUUCCUGCCUAACAUGAACUUGUUUUGCUCCAAAUCUUUCGGAAUUGUGUGUUUAUAUGGAUAAAAGCAUGGUAUUCGUAAAAUAGAAAACUAACUAUCGCGCAAUAAAGCGUCUGUCCCUGGUGUAAGUGGAAAACCACGUCCCAGAACAAAACAUGAGGUGGCUAAUAUGGGAUCAAUCUGCGGUGGAAGUGUUGAUUUUAUAUUUAUUUUUCCCCCAUCGAAAUUUUAUCCAUGUGAAGGAGUUAUUUUACCAUGAUAUGUACAGGUGAGUGAUACAUUUCUGAAAUUGUUUU